CUGCGAUCAAAUCCUGACCUCGUCAGCCAGGUCAGCCUUCACCUCUUGGAGGCUGGCUCUGCAUGAGUGACUGUGAGGCCUAAAUAAAAUUAAGUGUAUAGAAGUAUAAUAUCUAGCACAGGCCUGGCCUUACAUAAGGGGCACACUCAGUGUUGCUCCCCUCCCCCUUUCCAGCCUUCAGACCUCACAGCUCUCUCCACUCUUACUAACAGAAACAAGCACAGAGGCCACAGAGCAUUUCCCAGCAAGAAGGUUUGCAAAGAAGGAUGGCAGAAGUCCGCAAAGAAACAAACAGGCCACCCCACUGCUGGUAGAUGGUGCCCAACCUUCAAAACCAGAAGACUAGGAAAAAUACGAGCUCAGCACACUUACACAGUCUCAACUCAGUGCUGGCUGGCCUGGCAUCAAGUCCGCACAGUUGCCGCCAACCACAGUCAAGUUGGUACAGCUGCCAUAGAAAGCUGAAAAUCAGACUGCCACGAGAUCUGCCUGAAAGUUCUCUGUACAUUCCCCCAAGUUUCAUCCACCUGAAAAAUGCCAGUUACCACCACCUAGAACACCUUUAAACAGCUUGGUGGCACUGCCAGAGUAAGAGACACCUAAGGCUUGGGUUUUUCAGAAGGUGAGGAUUCCGUUAGUAAGUUGAUUAGAACUCCCAGAAUUAGCCCAGCAGUGUCAAACAGCCAUGAGAGGCAAUCGGCUUGGUUUUUAAAAAUGGUUUCAGUCUCAUGCUCUAUGUGUUCCAUUCAUUGUGUACAACUUCACUGAAUUAGCAGACAGUCCAGCUUAUGGCUUCCAUGCCUCCACCAAACAAGAUUAGAGAAAAAAACAAAACAAAACAAAACAGAAAUGAAACCACAGGAAGGCAGGCAGGUAUCCAAGUCAUGGGCCCCAGUGUGGAUCAGUUUGGAUGCACUGUGUGCCUACAGGGUCUUGCAGGUGAAAACAGCCUCUGUUACUGAAUCCUUCCACCAAGACUGGAACCUAGACACUCAGAGCAGGCCUUAAACACAAUCUGAGAAUGACAAAGACAAAAUACCAUGGACAUAAGAUAGAAUUGGAGAGAGGGGGUACUUAAAAAGAAAAAAUCAAGACAACCAUUAGCUUUUCUUUAAAAUAGCCCACUCCCUGGUGCACUUCCAGUAGAAUACAGUUGACACUGAAAUCUGUAAGGCUGUGGCACAGGCAAGAAGCGAGGUACCUCUGUGUGUCAGUGGCCAGUCUGCCUAUCUAUCAGCAAAGCUGGAGGAUUCCGGGUCAGGAUGUGCCCUGGACAAGGGAAAGCUGGCCCUAGAGAGACAUUCUAUUGCCAGGCUACAGACCACACUCCAAGCCCAGCUCUCUCAGAAACUGAUGCCAGUGAAGGCAACGUGAGAGACGCAGGCUGUGACAAGAGUGAACUAAGAGGCAGGACACUGCUCCAUCACUUUGGGUCACUGCUGGAGGUCCCCAUUGUCCAUCUCUCCAUUGGCAUCCCUUAGUGUUAAAUAAGACUGGACCAGUGACCCAGCACGGAGCCUCUGAACCCCAAAGAAUGUGCCCAGUAAGCAUGGGCUCACCAUUCCUGUUUUCAUUCUUUUAUUAUUAAUAUUAUCCAGCCGUCAUUGAUUAAGCACCUAUAAUGCCUUCCCUCCCAACUUCAAACACUUGAUAGGAAGGUAAAGUGAGGCAAUUCAGGUGAAGCCCACACAAACACAUAGCUCUUAUCAUUAGCACAGCUAUUAUUGUGAGCUCAAACCCACUCAAAGCCCCUACAGAACUAACUCAACCUGAGUUAAGUGAGCUAAAAUAUCCCAAGAGGGAGUGCCUAUCAGAAGCUUCAUUUCUCAGGACCACGUUUGCUCUUCAAAUGAGAAGCUAGUUGUCUAAAGGAACAAUCUCUCUCUCCAUCUGGCCAGCCAGUGACUUGUCCCUUGUAUGUGUGAAAUGUGCCUUCCCCAACAGGAGGCAUUUUAAGCUUGACGGGGUUUUGUUAAAGUUAAUAUACGUGGGCCCUUUACAAUCCUGGAAACUAAUUAUUGAAUCGCCUCUCUCCUUCUUCAAGUCAUCAGGUGGAAAUGAAAAACGGAGGUAGAAGCAGAGAAAGAAAAAGUGUCGGGGGAGAAUUCUACUUUCCCCACGUCUUCGAGUACAAGAGCUAAUCUAGUCCUACAAACGAAGAUAUACAAGAGGCACAAUUUAAAUAACUUUCCCAGCCUUUAAUUAAGCAAAGUAGAGUGAAAGGAUCAACAGCCUCUGACAUGAAUUUGCAUACCUUUUGCCAAGUUCUGUGUGUGUGGAGGGGGAGUCACAUCUUCCCCAAACUUGUUUCACACUCACUACUCAUUCUCUCCACAGGCCUCAUAAGAGGCACAACCAUUUAAAACAAACAAGAGCUUCUAACCCAACCAUUUGAGAGAGCUAUGUGAUUUUAAAAAGAAAAAAAAAGGUCAACAGCGUUCUGAGUACAUAUCGCAAGCUUUGUUCUACUCGCUUCCCCACUUCCUGUUGCUUCCUCACCUCGUAACUUUUUAUUUUUGAAGCCUAUGCGUUCGCACUGGUAUCACUGUAAGGUUUCAGUGGGAGGCCGUCGGAGAGACCAGGAUGAGGAGGCUCUGUACUGUUCUGAGACAGACAGGACCGUACGAAAGACAGAAAUCACAACCGCCCGGCCCUCAGGAAAGUACAGCCAAAAUUUCACCGCUCCCGUCAACAGUGGGGGUGCUAGGAAAACAGUUGUGGGCGAGCUUUACUUUGUGGGGAGCACACUGUGUGGGCAAUGGUCACUUAACCAUUAGUUAGUACCAAGUGGCUUACAGCUGGGGGCAAGGGGAAAAAACACUUGACACCCACAGACCAAGAAAUACACGAGCCGGCUCUGCAGGUUACUAGGGCCUCUCCAAACACCUGCCCAAGCCCUGCACUCCAGGGAGGGAUCACCACUGGGAAAAGGAACUGAAAGACUGAAAUGCUUUGUGAGUGGGACCCUGUCUUAUCUCCAGCUUAGAACAGAGGUCAGAACAAAAGGGGGACAUGGACACCAUUUGGCCAGACCCUUCCUGUUACAGAGGACACCAGGACCAAGAGCUGUUAUCACAAAGCUAAUUUACUCACAGGAGACCAGGUAUUGGAUCCCAGUUCUCCCAUCUCCCAGAACAGGGCUUUUCGAGAUCUUCUCAAACGAACAUGGAGCAGGUGCUCAAUAAAUGUUGGCUCAGCUACACUGGACUGCAAUGCAUGGUGGGUGGAGAGUGCAACCCUAAAAUACUUUUUGUCUGAUACCAGGAGGUCCCAUCUUCCAGAAGAUGUUUUGGGGGUUAGAGUAGCCUGUCCUCAUAAUCUACUCUGGCUCUUAAAUGCCUAGGGUUAAGGACUGCCCUUCAACAGGUCCCUAAGCUAGACUGUUGCACCCAUCUGCCAUUAUUUCCCAGCCGGGGGGAACAAUUCUGGGAGACAGGGUGAUAUUGCACAAGUCACAGGGCAGGGAAUGAAAAGCUGGGCUCCAGCCUCUGGUGAACAGUCUCAGCAGAUGGCCUCAGGGAGUCCUCCUGCCCACACCCACCACCCCCAUGCCUUCCUGCAUCCACGUGUACCCUUUGAACACGAUCUCUAAGAAGCUGCUGGUCCUGUGGGCCUCGGAUCCUAAGAGCCUAUACUCUCCCAUCUGCUGGCCACCACAGAGCUCAUUCUUCUGCCCCCACCUUCACCCUCAGCCUUCCCGCCUACUCUACCUGCCUAGAACAUCUGUGGGCCCUCAGAACAUGGAGCAGUGGGCUGGAGGGUUCUAUGUACAUUUCUACCUAAUUUGAGUUUACCAUGAGCUCUCGAUGUGUCUUCUGGAAUCCUCCCCACAGAGUAAAGCUUUGCUCCCAAAAUAAAAUAAAACUUAAAAUGUGAUGAAGGCCUGUAUGUGCCAGGUGCUUGGCCAGGGUCAGGCUGGGCUGUGUCUCAGGAACUGGGAGAAAGACAUCCAGAGUUGGAAUCCAAACAGCUGAAGCCCAGCUUCACCCCAUCAGCCUCUAUCUCCUUCCCAUGACUGAUUUUCUUCGCAGACCUCAUCGACACCUGACAUUGUAGUAGAUGUGUACACGUAUACUUAUUAUCUGUCUUGCUCAUUGGAAGGAAUGCUCCAUGAGGGCAGGGGCUGGCUUUGUCUAUCCUGGCAGCCAGGGCAGCACCUGGCACAUGGCAGGGGUGUGAUGCCUGCUAAAUGAAUGAAGAAAUGAAUGAGUGAAUGAAUAAGCAGUUGAUCCUGGAUGUGCCUCAAUCAUGACCAAGUCACUUAACAUCUUUAAGUUUCCUUAUUUAUAAAAUGAGGAUAAUAAUCAUGUAUUCUUUAUGUGACUGGAGUGAUCAUUAAACAAGAAAAUGAUCAUAAGAGCAUUUAGGACGUACCUGGGACACAGCAAACCAACGAUAAACGUUAGCUAUUACUUGUUAGCCAUUAUUAUUAUAGUCACUGAUGGAAACAGAGAGAAAUAAAGCCUCUUUAUUAUACCCUGGGCAGUUUUUAGGCUAACUAACUGAAAUUCUGUGUGUGUAAGACCUAUCCAGAAAGGAUCAUUAAGAGAGGCCUGAGCCAUGGGCCUGCAUAGAUACUAUGGGUCCCUCAGAGCAUCAGUCUUAGCAGAAAAUCUUUUCAUGUCCCUGAAAGUGAUAAGCUCAUUUGCACAAAGGUUGCUUUAUGGGUCUCUGAUAGCCAUCAUCCCAGCAAUUAAAGUCUUCAAAUACCUAAUUCCUGCCCUCAAGAGCUUACAGUCCAGCUGGGGGAAAUGAGACAUUAACAUAUGAAAGGUGACCUAUAAAUUCAAACUCAAGACAACAUAUGUCAAAUGUCAAAUGAGUACACUGGAGAUGAAGUCCUGAGAAACGCUGGUAAGGCGAAUGUUUAACAAGCAGCACACACACACAUACACACACAUACACACACACACACACACACACACACAGCAGUUGUCAAUUUCCAUGGUAUAAAUACUCCCACUAUGGCGUUUCAAGCUGCCGACGCGAGGGCCACUGGACAUGGAGUUGGGAAGAGACAUGCACAGUUAACUCCCACGAGCUGGUGCGAGCCAGCUUCCACACGCAUCACCGAUCUAGGUCCUAUUGUCAAUAAUCUCUCAAACAGGUCAAGGGCUGUGGGCCAAGUGGUCAGUGCUAACAACCAGCAUCUUUGUAGUACUUCAGGUUACAAAGCACAUCAGAGGUCAUUACUGUAUUUCAUCCUCACCACCUGGCCAGAAAGGCAUUCCUGCCUUCAUUUUGCAGAUAAAUAAACUGGGUUUCAAAAAAGUACCACAAAUUUUUCACUGUCAUUCUGCAAGUGAGUGACAUUGUCAGGGCUUGAACCAGUAUCUUCUGGGGCAGCCAAGGCCUCUCAUCAUCCCCUCUGCCCCUGAGAAGGAGGGCUUCUCAGAGAAGUGGUUGAAGGACGAUGAGAAGUAAGUAAAGGUCAGAACAGAGAUUCAGGAGAGGUACAGCACUUAAGCAGAUGGUGAAUUCCCUGCAGAGUGCAAAGGUCACGGGAGUGUGCAAGGCCUGGCAAAACCUGAAACUAAUGCAACCAUUUAGUUCAGUGUGCUUCACCAGAGAAUUUCUUUCCUAAAACAGUGACCUAGCUAUUAAAAUCUGCAUUCCCAAAUCCGCUGCAGCAUUAGGUGAAUGAGCAAAAGAAAUGGAAGGCAAUUUAGAUGACUAAAUAUAGGGGAGCUGGUUAAAUAAGUUAUAGAACUUCCGCAUAAUAGAAUGCUGUGCCACCACAGAAAGUCAGGUUUUAAAAGAGCAGUGUACAACUAGGAAAUCCUCACAAUAGAGUUUUUAAAGCACAUUACAUAACAAUAUGUGCAAUAUGAUUCCAGUUCUGUAAAAAUGAACAAGCAGGCAAACUCUCCAAUGUAUAUAUGCAGGAAAAAAAAAAAAAAAAAGACUGGGAUGUAAACUUCCAAAUCCUCACACUGGUUUCUUCCAGAAAGAUGGAUGUUUUUAUUUUCUUCUCUAUG
rnacentral:lncRNA from 1 species